rnacentral:rRNA from 1 species
UACGAGGGGCCCAAACGUUAUUCGGAAUUACUGGGCUUAAAGAGUUCGUAGGCGGCAUGAAAAGCAGGGUGUGAAAGCCCUCGGCUCAACCGAGGAAUUGCGCUCUGAACUGUCGUGCUUGAGGAACCUAGAGGUGAGCAGAACUGAUGGUGGAGCGGUGAAAUUCGUAGAUAUUCGCAAGAACACCAGUGGCGAAGGCGGCUCACUGGCCCGGAACUGACGCUGAGACGCGAAAGCGUGGGGAGCAAACAGG